rnacentral:misc_RNA from 1 species
AGAGCUAAGGAACAUCCUGAAAGCAAAAUCCAAAUUGAAAAGUAAGGAAAAAAAAUUAAUGUGAAGGCCAAACAAAAUAACUCAAAAGAAGAUAAAAAUGCUAAAGCUUUAAACUGCCAAGAAAGCAUAAGGAAGUACAAAAGAAAAUCAAAGGUACGAAAUGGUAACUAUAUUCCUCUUCUUGCCUUUUUCUUUUUAUUUUAUUUAUUCCUUUGCUAUGCAUCUCCCAAAUCCUUAUUUCCUUUAUUACUUUUUCCCUAUUGCAAACAAAAUGACUCAAACAAAGCUGAAAAUGCAGAAGCAUUAAUUUGUCAAGAAAGAAUAAAGUACAAAAGAAAAUCAAAAGU